ACUCCUACGGGAGGCAGCAGUGAGGAAUAUUGGUCAAUGGAGGCAACUCUGAACCAGCCAAGUCGCGUGAAGGAUGAAGGUCUUAUGGAUUGUAAACUUCUUUUGCAAGGGAAUAAAGUGGGGGACGUGUCCUCCUUUGCAUGUACCUUGCGAAUAAGGAUCGGCUAACUCCGUGCCAGCAGCCGCGGUAAUACGGAGGAUCCGAGCGUUAUCCGGAUUUAUUGGGUUUAAAGGGUGCGCAGGCGGGAUGUUAAGUCGGCGGUGAAAUUUUGCAGCUCAACUGUAAAAGUGCCUUCGAUACUGGCUUUCUUGAGUGUGGAUGAAGUAGGCGGAAUUUGUGGUGUAGCGGUGAAAUGCUUAGAUAUCACGAGGAACUCCGAUUGCGCAGGCAGCUUACUAAACCACUACUGACGCUCAUGCACGAAGGCGUGGGGAUCAAACAGGAUUAGAUACCCUGGUUAGUC
rnacentral:rRNA from 1 species